GAUUAACGCUGGCGGCGUGCAUAACACAUGCAAGUCGAACGAUGAAACUUAAAUGAUUUCUUCGGAAUGAACUUAAGUGGCUUAGUGGCGGACGGGUGAGUAACUCGUGAGUAGCCUGCCUUACACAAGGGGAUAGCCGUUUGAAACGACGUAUAAUACCCUAUGAUGUUUCUUUCUCGCAUGAGAUAUUAACCAAUGUGUUAGCGGUGUAAGAUGGACUUGCGUCUGAUUAGCUAGUUGGUGAGAAAAAAGCCCACCAAGGCAACGAUCAGUAGCCGGCUUGAGAGAGUGUACGGCCACAUUGGGACUGAGACACGGCGCAGACUCCGAAGGGAGGCAGCAGUGGGGAAAGUUGCACAAUGGGGGAAACCAUGAUGCAGCGACGGCGCGUGAUUUAGAAGGGCUUCGGGUUGUAAAAAUCGUUUGUAGAGGAAGAAAAGGACAGUACUAUACGAAUAAGGACCGGCUAAUUACGU
rnacentral:rRNA from 1 species